rnacentral:rRNA from 1 species
AUACGGAGGGGGCUAGCGUUGUUCGGAAUUACUGGGCGUAAAGCGCGCGUAGGCGGUUUGCCAAGUCAGGCGUGAAAGCCCCGGGCUCAACCCGGGAACUGCGUUUGAAACUGGCAGGCUUGAGGCCGGGAGAGGGUAGUGGAAUUCCCAGUGUAGAGGUGAAAUUCGUAGAUAUUGGGAAGAACACCAGUGGCGAAGGCGGCUACCUGGACCGGUUCUGACGCUGAGGUGCGAAAGCGUGGGGAGCAAACAGGAUUAGAAACCCCAGUAGUCC